rnacentral:rRNA from 1 species
GACGGAGGAUGCAAGUGUUAUCCGGAAUCACUGGGCGUAAAGCGUCUGUAGGUGGUCAAAUAAGUCAACUGUUAAAUCUUGAGGCUCAACCUCAAAAUCGCAGUCGAAACUAUUAGACUAGAGUAUAGUAGGGGUAAGGGGAAUUUCCAGUGGAGCGGUGAAAUGCGUAGAGAUUGGAAAGAACACCGAUGGCGAAGGCACUUUACUGGGCUAUUACUAACACUCAGAGACGAAAGCUAGGGUAGCAAAUGGG